UACGGGGGGGGCAAGCGUUGUUCGGAAUUACUGGGCGUAAAGGGCUCGUAGGCGGCCAACUAAGUCAGACGUGAAAUCCCCCGGCUUAACCGGGGAACUGCGUCUGAUACUGGUUGGCUUGAGUGUGGGAGAGGGAUGCGGAAUUCCAGGUGUAGCGGUGAAAUGCGUAGAGAUCGGGAGGAACACCAGAGGCGAAGGCGGCGACCUGGACAAGUACUGACACUCAACUGCGAAAGCGUGGGGAGCAAACAGG
rnacentral:rRNA from 1 species